AAAGAAGGAGAUGGCAAUAUGGAGGAAAGAAGUGACUCCAGCCGGGUCUGGGUUCUAUGAGAAAGAGGAUGUGGGAAUUGAUAUUGCCUAGGCAACCAGCAGCAUCUACUACAGUCCUUUUUGAAAAUGUCCACCCUUCACCCCAAUAUUGUCACCAAGAAUGGCUGUGGCUCAUUCUGGGUCUGUGAAGAGGUCACUUCUCUAGGGGCAGAUGGGAUGGGCCUGCCAACAAAAUCAAAACACCCUCCCAACUCAAAGAGACUCAGUAACUUCUAAGAGGUGGUCCUAGAAUCUCUCUGGAGAAAAACAUGGAAAUGGAGACCAAAAGAGGGAAGGAGGGAUGCCACCAGAUGACACUGGGAUCCCGGAAAAUGGAACACUGUGUGCAACGGGCAAAGAACUUUUCAAAAGGGAUUUCAACCUCUGACCACCUGGAGACAGGAGACUGGCGCUCAUUGUAAAUGCACUGACAUGACAGGGAACAGCUGCUGGGGAGGUGGAGACGGGUCGUGGGGAGAGACAGGAAGCCCCAGCGGCUUGGAAAUCCAGGAGCCAAGGAAGCAGUGAGCUUUCUGCAGAGCCAGAUCCGGUGAAGCCAAUUCACCAGCAGGUCCCGGCAGUGACUCUUCUACAACAGAUUCCUGCCCGUCCCUGUGCCCCAUCGUUCCCCUGCCACCAAUCUCUACCCCAUGGGAGCCAGACCAAGCCUUCCUGUGUGUAGCACACAUCUCUCCUGCUUAGAGCUCACUUACUGGCUUCCGUGGCAUUUUGUUUCUUUUUUAGAGAUGGGGUCUUGCCCUGUCACCCAGGCUGGGGUACGGUGGCAUGAUCAUGGCUCACUGCAGCUCACUCCUGGGCUCAAGUGAUCCUCCUGCCUCAGCCUCUCAAGCAGCUGGGACUACAGUCUGGCACCACCCCACCCAGCUCAUUAUUUUUUGUAGACAUGGGAUCUCGCUAUGUUGCCCAAGCUGGUCUCGAAUUCCUGGCCUCAAGCAAUCUUCUUACCCCAGCCUCCCUAAGUGCUGGAAUUAUAGGUAUGAGCCAUUCCGCCAGUCUUCCGUGGCAUUUCUAACAACAUCCUUGAAGGACGUGUGUGAAUCCCUUUCCCGAUGUGUAUCUGCACUGUCCCUGUCCCGUGCUGAUUCUGCUCAGACACACUGGCUUUCUUUCUGGUCCUCUCACAGGCCAACACCGGCCCCACCCCAGGGCCUUUGCACUUACGGUUUUCCCUCAACCUAAAUACCCUACACCACUGCUGUCUGACAGAAAUAUGUAAUAACAGGAGCCUCAUAUGUACUUGUAAAUUUUCUAGCAGUAACAGAGGAAAUUAAAUUUAAUAAUAUAUUUUAUUUCACCCAAUAGAUCCAAAAUAGUAUCACUUCAAUGUGUAAUCGAUAUUAAAAUUAAUUCCUGAGA
rnacentral:lncRNA from 1 species